CCGGGGCGGCGCUCCCGGACCGGCCCCGCCGCUCCCGCCCCGCCCCGGGCCCGCUCCGGAGCUCAGACCUCCGGCAGCCGUGGGAGGCUCCCCGCAAACCGCCGGGGAGACCCCCGGAACCAGGCGUGGGUCACGCUGGGGAUGCCGAUCGCAGCAUCGAGCCCCUGCUCGAUGCAUCACAGCCCUGCUCUCAAAGGUCCCGGAAUGGUUUGGGUUGGAAAGGACCUCAAAGCCCAUCCCGCUCCAGCCUGCCAUGGGCACGGACACCUUCCACUAUCCCAGGCUGCUCCACACCUCAUCCAACCUGGCCUUGGAUGGGACAGCCACAGCUUCUCUGGGUAACCUGAGCUACGGCCUCACCAUCCUCCCAUGGAAAAAAUCUAUUCCCAACACCUAAUGAAAGUUUUAAUUUUGCAGUUUAAAACCCAUCUUGCAAUGGAGCUGCUUUGUAAAACUCUUGUAGCAAUGAGCAGAGCUUUUACUCAAUGAGUUCCAAGCUUUGUUUUGCCCCAUUUUGAGGAACUCCAGUUGCUCAGGCUCAUCGCUGACACUGACAACAGAGCAGAGCCAAGCCUGCACUCACUGGGAGCCUGGAAAUCACUUUUUGUCAGUCUGCUGCUCUCUAUAAACACUCCCAGUUAACCACUUGUGUGCUGGGAAGAGCUGGUUCAGGCACGGCCCUCCCCAUGGCUCAUGGCCACAUGCCUUGGCCUCAUAGCCAGACAUUCCCAUGGUUUCCAGACUGACCCACGGGGAGCAGAGUUGGGCUCUGGCAAACCUCAGUGCGACUACGCCGUGUCCAGUGUCGCCUCUCCUUGGCUGCCAUCCCAGCAGCAAUGAGGAUGUGUUUUUCCAGGCUCUUCUCACACCCAGCUGUAAUAAUAAACACCACCAAGGACUCAAAUCCUGUUAGAAAUGAUACUCAGAGUGGGGUUUUUUUUGUGAUCUAAGCAAAAAACUACGUCACUAUGCUGCUGGACCAGCCACUGCAGUUUUUCCUGUCCCUUAAGCCCUGUGAGACCUUGUGGAGGCAAAAGCCAUCGUGAACCAAAUGAAACUUGUCACAUCACCGGGCGUGACUCAGCUCCACAGCCCUGCCUUGGGGCCACUGGUGUUCAGGAUGCUUGGGAAACUCCCGCUGCUUCCCUGCAUCUCUCCCUGCCAGCACAACCCCACACGGAGCUGAUGGUAUUUUCCACUGACUCACCUGCCCCUGAUAUCUCCCCUCUCUAAUCAAAGGGCAGUUUCCAGGAGCUGUGCUAUAAAAAGAAACAAUUAUUAAACAUAACUGCAUUUUUUUGUCCCCUUGGAUGGAUCGUUUUGCAUUUUUCAGCUUGGCCACCAGCUCAAGCAAAUUCACCCCACUUCAGGUGGAUUUUCCCCUCUCCUUCUGCACCUUCCUGAGUCAAACACAAACCUGACAUCCCAAGCAGCUCUGGCAGUCAGGAGACACAACAGGGAAUUGUUUUCUCUGUAAGAAAGCGGGGGGAACACAGACUUCACACAGCCACUGUCACCAAUCCGGCGCAGGGAGAGCUCCGUGCCCGAGCCAGGUCACCCCCCUGCAGAGGCCCCGGAGCACAGAGGGGACAUUCAUAACGUGGUUCCUCGGGUUGCCACUCCACAAAGCUGAAUAUUGGCCAGGAAUGAGCUUUUCAGCGGCAGUGGAGCAGGAUCAAGGAAGGGGGGCUUUUCUUCACCCCUUGGAUGGCUGCUAAAGCACCUGCCUCUCCCUGACACACAUUCUCUGUGGGAUAAUGUAUUCACAUCCAUCCCUUGGGCUCAUUUCCCUUUCCAGCUCUGCAGCCAUCCCAGUGUGGGGAUUUAUCUCUGGCAAAUCAAAUCUUUCCCCUGCAAACACUCCCUGCCCAGUCCCAGGCUGGGACUUCUCCAGGGUGAUUAUCCAGCCAGGUAUGCAGGGCACAGAGCACAGGAAUACCAAGGAGGAAACUGGAGCUCCACCAGAGCCACCAGCAGGUAACAAAAAGGGCCUUUCAGAGGAGCAUCUGAUGCCCUGCUACGUGCAGAGGUGCCAGGGGCUCACAUUAUCCUGCCUUAGAAAUUGCUCACUGGCACUUUUCCCUGCUUUUUCCUGCUCAAAGGUGCUCAGCAUGUCCAGUGGAAGGCUGGACAUGUUCCUGGAUUCCUCCAAAACUUCCCAACAGUGAGGCAAAAUCACUGCUCCAACUGGAUAGCCACAGCUGGAUGGCUUGUUCUGAAAGAGAUAAAGCCCAUCCCUGGGAGCCAGCUCUUCCCAUUUCAGAUGAUGGUGGCUCUUACCUGCUCUGCAGCUGCUCCCAAACCCAGGAGGCUGUUUCUGUCACAUAAAAAAAAGAAGAAAAGGUGUAUCUCUUUAUCUGUACCCUAUUAUGGGCUUGAAACUCAUUGCAGGUUGCCUUUGCUCCAGCCUGAAAGCAGCCAUUGACCCCAAAAUGGCAUCAAAAUCCCCACUGGAAGUGCUGGCACAGCCUUACAGGUGACCAGUGUCAUCUGAAUGAUAGUAACAAUAAUAACUUAUCAACCUCUACAUUGAUAACAAUAAUUUACCCAGUCAGAGCACAACACUUUCUGAUUUCUCCAUUUUCUGCUGUUCCUUCUCCUUACAUUUUCCAUAUCCAAGCAGGACAUCUCCUGGCUCUCCUUACUUACCUUAAACCCUGGAAAUCCUCAUUUCACAUGGAUGCAGACAGUCCCAGCCCCCUGCCAGCAUUACUGCAUCCAGGAGCAGGCAUUUGGCUGGGAGCUGGUCCUGGGAAAAGCUGGCUCAGCCUUCUCCUGAACCCUCCCAUCACCCUGGAGCCCCCAAAUUCACGUGGCACUCAGGGUGUCCUGCACCCUGUUGUCACAACAGAGAUGCCAACACCCAUCCAGGCUCUCCAAUUAAACCACAUGGAGUUCAUCCAUACUUUAAAAUAAGCUUUAUUUAGAUCUUUUAUAAUUUUAUAUUUGCAUCCAUGCCUUCAAGGAUUCUCCCCCGCUCACAGGGGGAAAAGUUAAAUCUAAUGUUACCCAUAAUUCAUAUGCUAUUUAGCAAAGUUCUCUUUUAAAUAAAUCAUCCUCUUAGUAAUUUUUAGAAUUACUUCCUAAUUUACAAAAAAGCUGAAAUGCAAAGGAAACUACUCGAUAACAAGGAAAUCGCUCAUCUGUUCUGGUAGUUUAGAGUUUAAAUUAUAAAAAACGCAAGGAGAACAAAGAAAAAAAAAACCAAAACAGAAUCGAAAAAAACAACAAAAUAUAAAAAAAUGCUUCUCUGCAGAGAAAAGAUGCCAUGGGGCAAAGCCUGCCCUGCCACCCCAGGAGAGCCUGGGGGGCUGGUCCCUCUGUCACCCCCUCCAUGGCCUCUCUGCAUCAUCCCUUGGAAUGGAAUACACAGCGCGAGGGCAUCGCUUCAGUUCGGUGAUUUAAGACAAAAUACCCUUUUUUUCUUUUGUUUCAACCAGGGCGCAUGUAUCAGAAUUAAGAAAAAUAAUACACUAUUAUAGUUCAUUAAAUAAAUCUUAAUACAUUUUUUUUAAGAGCUUAAAAUUAUACUGUAAGCGUUAAAGCAUAAGGUACUUAUCUUGGCAUAAGCAGAGCGCGGCACGUGUUAGUGGAGAGGGGAAGCGGCUGCCGCACCGGGGGGGUGGUUUGGGGGCAUUUCCAAGGAAUUUGGAAAAACAAGCUCCACCUGUGCUUCCAAAUCACCCCAGAGGCAGAAAAACCUCCCUAGUGGGGACUCGUACCGAUUUCCCCAGCCCCCUCCGAGGGCAGGAACACCCCAAACUGAGCGGGGUGGCCGGCCCUAUCAGGGCAGCAUCCUGGGAUAUGGGAUAUCUCGGGAUAUCACCUUGCUCCCAGCUCGUGCCAGAUCCCCCUACAUUUUACUUGAAGCAAAGGGCGAGCACCCCCCAAAAGCAGGGAAAAAACAGAGGGCAAAGCUCCCACCAGCUUGCCCCCAUCCGAUUUCCCGGCAUGUGUUUAGGUUUGCGUUUUCCAAGGCGUUAAGUGCUCCUGGGGCAGCUGAGGGAGCCCGGGCUGGGGGGUCCACAGCCCCAAUCUCCCCCAACAGCAACAUCCCAGGACAGUACAGUACAAA